rnacentral:rRNA from 1 species
GAUGAACGCUGGCGGCGUGCCUAAUACAUGCAAGUCGAGCGAACAGAUGAGGAGCUUGCUCCUCUGACGUUAGCGGCGGACGGGUGAGUAACACGUGGAUAACCUACCUAUAAGACUGGGAUAACUUCGGGAAACCGGAGCUAAUACCGGAUAAUAUAUUGAACCGCAUGGUUCAAUAGUGAAAGACGGUUUUGCUGUCACUUAUAGAUGGAUCCGCGCCGCAUUAGCUAGUUGGUAAGGUAACGGCUUACCAAGGCAACGAUGCGUAGCCGACCUGAGAGGGUGAUCGGCCACACUGGAACUGAGACACGGUCCAGACUCCUACGGGAGGCAGCAGUAGGGAAUCUUCCGCAAUGGGCGAAAGCCUGACGGAGCAACGCCGCGUGAGUGAUGAAGGUCUUCGGAUCGGAGAACUCUGUUAUUAGGGAAGAACAAAUGUGUAAGUAACUAUGCACGUCUUGACGGUACCUAAUCAGAAAGCCACGGCUAACUACGUG